AACGAACGCUGGCGGCAGGCUUAACACAUGCAAGUCGAACGCUCCGCAAGGAGAGUGGCAGACGGGUGAGUAACACGUGGGAACGUACCCUUUACUACGGAACAACUCCGGGAAACUGGAGCUAAUACCGUAUGUGCCCUUCGGGGGAAAGAUUUAUCGGUAAAGGAUCGGCCCGCGUUGGAUUAGCUAGUUGGUGGGGUAAAGGCCUACCAAGGCGACGAUCCAUAGCUGGUCUGAGAGGAUGAUCAGCCACAUUGGGACUGAGACACGGCCCAAACUCCUACGGGAGGCAGCAGUGGGUAAUAUUGGACAAUGGGCGCAAGCCUGAUCCAGCCAUGCCGCGUGUGUGGUGAAGGCCUUAGGGUUGUAAAGCACUUUCACCGGAGAAGAUAAUGACGGUAUCCGGAGAAGAAGCCCCGGCUAACUUCGUGCCAGCCGCCGCGGUAAUAC
rnacentral:rRNA from 1 species